UAGGGAAUAUUGCGCAAUGGAGGGAACUCUGACGCAGCGACGCCGCGUGAGCGAUGAAGGUCUUCGGAUCGUAAAGCUCUGUCCUUGGGGAAGAAGGGAGCCGUAAGGCUUCUUGACGGUACCCAUGGAGGAAGCCCCGGCUAACUACGUGCCAGCAGCCGCGGUAAUACGUAGGGGGCAAGCGUUGUCCGGAAUUAUUGGGCGUAAAGGGUGCGUAGGCGGCCCUUUAAGUCAGAUGUGAAAGCCCACGGCUUAACCGUGGGACUGCAUUUGAAACUGGAGGGCUUGAGUGUCGGAGAGGGCAGUGGAAUUCCCAGUGUAGCGGUGGAAUGCGUAGAUAUUGGGAGGAACACCAGUGGCGAAGGCGACUGCCUGGACGAUAACUGACGCUGAGGCACGA
rnacentral:rRNA from 1 species